rnacentral:rRNA from 1 species
CAAGCGGUGGAGCAUGUGGUUUAAUUCGAUGCAACGCGAAGAACCUUACCUGGUCUUGACAUCCACGGAAGUUUUCAAAAAUGAUAAUGUGCCUUCCGGAACCGUGAGACAGGUGCUGCAUGGCUGUCGUCAGCUCGUGUUGUGAAAUGUUGGGUUAAGUCCCGCAACGAGCGCAACCCUUAUCCUUUGUUGCCAGCGGUCCGGUCGGGAACUCAAAGGAAACUGCCAGUGAUAAACUGGAGGAAGGUGGGGAUGACGUCAAGUCAUCAUGGCCCUUACGACCAGGGCUACACACGUGCUACAAUGGCGCAUACAACGACAACCGACCUCGCGAGAGCAAGCAGACCUCAUACAGUGCGUCGUAGUCUGGAUUGGAAUCUGCAACUCGACUCCAUGAACUCGGAAUCGCUAGUCAAUCGUGAAUCAGAAUGCCACGGUGAAUACUUUCCCGGGCCUUGUACCCACC